GGGUGAGAAAAAAGUAACAAUACAUAAAAAAUAGGGUUACUAAGGUUCUUUAAUCAGAGACCAUCGUAGAUGAAGGUGUGGGAAUUUGGACUGCCAAUUGAAAAUUAGGGUAUAUAGGAUACAGACAGAAAUUUUGCCUUGCAUCAGGCCACCUUCAGACCUCCUUAAGAAAUAUCCAAUCAGUAGAUAUUUUGUUUAAAGUUUCUUCAUUUCAGAUAUAAUCUGAUAAUGUAUUAUUUCAUUUACAAUGAUGGCCAUCUUUGAUUUGAUUUCAUCCUUUCUUAAUGACAUUGUACAGUGAUAUAUGGUAUUAAAAGCUUGUGAAAAACCAAUAAAGAUUAAUUGAAAUAAAUACCAAAACUGAUUGUCUUCUGCGAGACUAAAACCUAGUGAGAUCUUCUUUAAUGGAGUGAAUAAAACCAUAUUUAGAAUAGCAUUUUGCCAGUAAUUGUAAAUUUGAAGGUCGAUCUCCUGGGAGUUAAACAUGACAAUCAAAUUCUUCAUAUCACAAUCUUCAUUAAUUUUAAUCAAUAACAAGCUCUAUUACAAUUCUAUGUCUAACAACCACAAAAAUCACCAUACACUGCAAUCUACUCAAUAAAUUCUUAUAAACGUAGUAAUCCUCCACUACAAUAAUAUGGCAAAUCAAACAACAACACUUGGAUUUCUGUAAACAAAAUGUCAGACUUAAAC
rnacentral:lncRNA from 1 species